AUGGCUGUCGUCAGCUCGUGUCGUGAGAUGUUGGGUUAAGUCCCGCAACGAGCGCAACCCUUACUUUUAGUUGCCAUCAUUUAGUUGGGCACUCUGAAAGAACUGCCAGUGAUAAGCUGGAGGAAGGUGGGGAUGACGUCAAGUCCUCAUGGCCCUUAUGUGUUGGGCUACACACGUGCUACAAUGGUAUCUACAACAGGAAGCAAGAUGGCAACAUUAAGCAAAUCCCAAAAAGAUACCUCAGUUCGGAUUGCACUCUGCAACUCGAGUGCAUGAAGCUGGAAUUACUAGUAAUCGUGGAUCAGCGUGCCACGGUGAAUACGUUCCCGGGUCUUGUACACACCGCCCGUCACACCAUGGGAGUUGGUUCUACCUUAAGGCAAGGUUUUAAACCCUUGACCACGGUAUAGUCAGCGACUGGGGUGAAGUCGUAACAAGGUAGCCGUAGGGGAACCUGCGGCUGGAUUACCUCCUUUCUAAGGAUGAAUGAAAGUAAAAUUUCAUUCUAAAUAAUAUACAGGUUAAUGUUGACCGUCCUCAUUUCUCUUCUUAAAUUAGUGUUUCUCUUCUGCAUGGGGGCCGGUAGCUCAGUUGGUUAGAGCACACCCUUGAUAAGGGUGGGGUCGAAAGUUCGAGUCUUUCUCGGCCCACCAAUAUUAACUGGGGGAUUAGCUCAGCUGGGAGAGCGCCUGAUUUGCAUUCAGGAGGUCAGCGGUUCGAUCCCGCUAUCCUCCACCAGAAACACUUAGUUAUUAAAAUUGUAAAUAAAAAUAAUUUAUAUCAAUAUCUAUAUCCGAACAUUAAUUUUGUUAUUAGUUAAUGUUCAAAAUAAAAAUUUGAUUAGAACACAGAAAGAAUUUUUUUCUGUGCAUAAAUCAAGCGUUUAAGGGCGUGUGGCGGAUGCCUUGGCACUGAAAGCCGAUGAAGGACGUGGUAUACUGCGAUAAGUUUCGGGGAGCCGUAUGCGGGCCUUGAUCCGUAAAUUUCCGAAUGGGGAAACCCAA
rnacentral:sRNA from 1 species